UGGGGAAAGUAGGCGGAGCGCUGGGCGGGGGCAGAAGAAACCUACUGGUGCUCCUUCCACUUACCCGAGGUCGGAAGCCGAAAGUAAAACAAGCCACGUGAACGUCUCCAAACUCGCACGGUGUAAGAAGUCUCACUAUGUACCCUUGACUGACCUGGAACUCAGAGGUCCAGAUGCCUGCCUCACCUCCCUGCUGAACUAAAGGUGUGUUCUUUUUAAAGCCUGUCGGGGUUGGCAGGUCUCACCCAAAUAAGCAAACACGUGGAGUGUGGUUCAAAGUGGACAUGGUCUGAUUUCCAAGAGGAUUUAUAAUCCGACUCUCCAGUGCUUAGUGAGAUAAAUAAUUGUGCACAUAAUCCCAAAUUUGCUUCGUCUGGAGUGCAACGUUUAGAGCCAGUGACUGGAGCAGAUAAAGACGUGUGGAGGAUGGUAUGUGGAACUUGAGUGUCUUGGAGACCUCCUUGUAACUUUCAUGCUUUCUUGAACACGAAACAUCAUCAGAAAAGUGCCAGGCUAACAUUCAAGGGACGGACCUAAGAAGGAUGACGCCAACCACGGAAACCACAUACAAGCUCUGCUCACUAGCUGCUCACGGCAGCGAGGGUUAAUGGUUUGGGCACGGCUUUGUGUGUGUGUACUGGUCUCAACAUCUAAGUGGACGGCUGCAAACUGUGUUUUUCACCAUCAGGGAAAACAGGUAUAAAAAAAGAGCAAGAGUUCUCGAGAAGCCUGAAUUAACCUUAUGGGAUUGGAUGAGCCAGGACGUCAGUGUGAGGCCGUGUUUGACUUAAUAUACAUCCAGAUGGGGAUGCACUAAACACAGGUAUGUAGACAGGGCCUAGAUAUGCCAGGGGUAACCAGCACCCUUAGUACCCAAAUAGUGGCUUUAAAACAAUGAGAGGAGCCUGGCAGUGGGGGCACACUCCUUUAAUCCCAGUAGUCAGGACGCAUUGAGGCCAGCCUGGUCUAGAGAGUUCCAGGACAUCCAGGGCUGUUACCCUGUUUGAAAAACAAACAAACAAACAAACAAAAAAAACAAUGAGAGGAACUGUGGCUCUUGGGGAAAAAAAUUGUUGAUUCUGGAGCUGGAACAGAGAAGGUACAGGUUGAUCCUACUUUAGCAAAUUUAAUUUAGUAAUUUAAAAGGACAAGAACAUCACAAAAGUGCACAGAAACCAACUUGAAAGGAUUAGGCAACCAAACCAGUGACUUAGGGUAACAUGAGACUCUUUGCUCUGCCAGAAGGAGAACUUGAAGCCUCUCAGCGUCAGGUUAGCAACAGUAAGAACAGGGGCAGGGAAGUCGGUGCCACGAUGGGAAGCCCGGCAGAGUCUCAGUUGGCUACUGAUGGAGGCACGCAGCCACUCUGUUACACCAUGCUGACAUCAUGUACUUCCUGAGAGGACGUGAGGGGGACAGGGCUCACCUUUGUGAAGAACACUGGACACACCCAAAUUGAGGAUAGAAGCGGGAUAACUAACUAACACUCCUCAAACUCGGCAAGGGCAGACGGAGAAGCUGCCAGAGAUGGAAGACUGCAGGACUGAGAACAAGGAGACACACAGGUCCAGGACUGCAAUCUUCUGGGAGCCCGUUCCACUCCUCUUACGGCUGAUCCCCUGACCCCCUGGUUUUUUGUAAAGCCUACGAGGAACAUUUAAGGACUUCUGGCAGCUGGUAACAUCACUGGAAAUCAUUUU